UACGUAGGGGGCUAGCGUUGUCCGGAAUCAUUGGGCGUAAAGAGCGCGUAGGCGGCCAGAUAAGUCCGGUGUGAAAGUCACAGGCUCAACCUGUGAAUGCCGCUGGAAACUGUCUGGCUAGAGUCCGGAAGGGGCGAGUGGAAUUCCUGGUGUAGCGGUGAAAUGCGCAGAUAUCAGGAGGAACACCGGUGGCGAAGGCGGUUCUCUGGGCAUUACCUGACGCUGAGGAGCGAAAGUGUGGGGAGCGAACAGG
rnacentral:rRNA from 1 species